rnacentral:rRNA from 1 species
ACACGUAGGGGCCUGACGUUGUUCGGAAUCAUUGGGCGUAAAGGGCGCGCAGGCGGCUGUCCAAGUCCGGUGUUAAAUGGUCGGGCUCAACCCGAUCAUGCGCUGGAAACUGGGCGGCUUGAGUCCCGUAGGGGAUGCCGGAAUUCCAGGUGUAGGGGUGAAAUCUGUAGAUAUCUGGAAGAACACCGAUGGCGAAGGCAGGCAUCUGGCCGGAGACUGACGCUGAGGCGCGAAGGCGCGGGGAGCGAACAGGUUUAGAUACCCUGGUAGUCCGCGCAGUAAACGAUGCGCACCAGGUGUCGGGCGGCAGCGCCCGGUACCGGAGCUAACGCGAUGAGUGCGCCGCCUGGGGAGUAUGCCCGCAAGGGUGAAACUCAAAGGAAUUGGCGGG